rnacentral:rRNA from 1 species
UAGCUAGUUGGUGAGGUAAAGGCUUACCAAGGCGACGAUCUGUAGCGGGUCUGAGAGGAUGAUCCGCCACACUGGAACUGAGACACGGUCCAGACUCCUACGGGAGGCAGCAGUGGGGAAUUUUGGACAAUGGGGGCAACCCUGAUCCAGCCAUGCCGCGUGAGUGAAGAAGGCCUUCGGGUUGUAAAGCUCUUUCGGCCGGGAAGAAAUCGCAUGGGCCAAUACCCUGUGUGGAUGACGGUACCGGAAUAAGAAGCACCGGCUAACUACGUGCCAGCAGCCGCGGUAAUACGUAGGGUGCGACCGUUAAUCGGAAUUACUGGGCGUAAAGCGUGCGCAGGCGGUUUUGUAAGACAGGCGUGAAAUCCCCGGGCUUAACCUGGGAACUGCGUUUGUGACUGCAAGGCUAGAGUACGGCAGAGGGGGGUGGAAUUCCACGUGUAGCAGUGAAAUGCGUAGAGAUGUGGAGGAACACCAAUGGCGAAGGCAGCCCCCUGGGUCGAUACUGACGCUCAUGCACGAAAGCGUGGGUAGCAAACAGGAUUAGAUACCCUGGUAGUCCACGCCCUAAACUAUGUCAACUAGGUGUUGGGUGGGUAAAACCAUUUAGUACCGUAGCUAACGCGUGAAGUUGACCGCCUGGGGAGUACGGCCGCAAGGUUAAGACUCAAAGGAAUUGACGGGGACCCGCACAAGCGGUGGAUGAUGUGGAUUAAUUCGAUGCAACGCGAAAAACCUUACCUACCCUUGACAUGCCAGGAACUUGCCAGAGAUGGCUUGGUGCCCGAAAGGGAGCCUGGACACAGGUGCUGCAUGGCUGUCGUCAGCUCGUGUCGUGAGAUGUUGGGUUAAGUCCCGCAACGAGCGCAACCCUUGUCGUUAAUUGCCAUCAUUUAGUUGGGCACUUUAACGAGACUGCCGGUGACAAACCGGAGGAAGGUGGGGAUGACGUCAAGUCCUCAUGGCCCUUAUGGGUAGGGCUUCACACGUCAUACAAUGGUCGGUACAAAGGGUUGCCAAGCCGCGAGGCGGAGCCAAUCCCAGAAAGCCGAUCGUAGUCCGGAUUGCAGGCUGCAACUCGCCUGCAUGAAGUCGGAAUCGCUAGUAAUCGUGGAUCAGCAUGUCACGGUGAAUACGUUCCCGGGUCUUGUACACACCGCCCGUCACACCAUGGGAGCGGGUUCCGCCAGAAGUAGGUAGCCUAACCGCAAGGGGGGCGCUUACCACGGCGGGGUUCGUGACUGGGGUGAAGUCGUAACAAGGUAGCCGUAGGGGAACCUGCGGCUG